UAGGGAAUCUUCCGCAAUGGACGCAAGUCUGACGGAGCAACGCCGCGUGAGUGAAGAAGGACUUCGGUUCGUAAAACUCUGUUGUUAGAGAAGAACAGCGCAUAGAGUAACUGUUAUGCGUGUGACGGUAUCUAACCAGAAAGCCACGGCUAACUACGUGCCAGCAGCCGCGGUAAUACGUAGGUGGCAAGCGUUGUCCGGAUUUAUUGGGCGUAAAGCGAGCGCAGGCGGUCAAUUAAGUCUGAUGUGAAAGCCCCCGGCUCAACCGGGGAGGGUCAUUGGAAACUGGUUGACUUGAGUGCAGAAGAGGAGAGUGGAAUUCCAUGUGUAGCGGUGAAAUGCGUAGAUAUAUGGAGGAACACCAGUGGCGAAGGCGACUCUCUGGUCUGUAACUGACGCUGAGGUUCGAAAGCGUGGGUAGCAAACAGG
rnacentral:rRNA from 1 species